GUGUCAGCCGCCGCGGUAAUACGGAGGGUGCAAGCGUUAUCCGGAUUUACUGGGUUUAAAGGGUGUGUAGGCGGGCUUUUAAGUCUGGGGUGAAAUCUCCGAGCUCAACUCGGAAACUGCCUUGGAUACUAUUAGUCUUGAAUUAUGUUGAGGUUGGCGGAAUAUAACAUGUAGCGGUGAAAUGCAUAGAUAUGUUAUAGAACACCGAUUGCGAAGGCAGCUAACUAAGCAUAUAUUGACGCUGAGGCACGAAAGCGUGGGGAUCAAACAGGAUUAGAAACCCUCGUAGUCC
rnacentral:rRNA from 1 species